UACGUAGGGAGCGAGCGUUGUCCGGAUUUAUUGGGCGUAAAGAGCUCGUAGGCGGUUUGGUAAGUCGGGUGUGAAAGCUCCGGGCUCAACUCGGAGAGGUCACUCGAUACUGCCAUGACUGGAGUCCGGUAGGGGGGUGUGGAAUUCCCAGUGUAGCGGUGAAAUGCGCAGAUAUUGGGAGGAACACCAAUUGCGAAGGCAGCUCGCUGGGACGUUACUGACGCUGAGGAGCGAAAGCAUGGGUAGCGAACAGG
rnacentral:rRNA from 1 species